CCCGCCGUAGGGGAAUNUUNCACAAUGGACGCAAGUCUGAUGGAGCAACGCCGCGUGAGUGAAGAAGGCUUUCGGGUCGUAAAACUCUGUUGUUGGAGAAGAAUGGUCGGCAGAGUAACUGNUGUCGGCGUGACGGUAUCCAACCAGAAAGCCACGGCUAACUACGUGCCAGCAGCCGCGGUAAUAA
rnacentral:rRNA from 1 species